GCUGCGGGGACACAACGGCUGGCGUCACGCGGGCUGUGUCACACGCACCCGCCACCGCAGCGGGAGCCCGAGCGGCCUCGGCGUGCUGCGCGAGGCUUCGUUCUGCUAACUGCACUGGGACGGGGACGACGUUUCUGAAGUCUGAGAGUGACGAACCACCCCAUUAAGCGCACGUGAGCUUUGCACUGCAGGCAGUUCCAGGAUUACGACAGCACUAAGCGCAGCUGCUUUCCAAGAACCAUUUGUCGUGUCAUUUCCUACCAGAAAAAUCCCAAAGCCAAGACCCGCACCCUGGCACUGGGAGAUGUGGAAGCACUCGCGUUCCUCCCGCUCGGGCGCCGCUGUCUCGGCUCGGGUGGGCUCAGCCCCCGCCUGUCAGGGCUGUCCCGUCCCCUCCGCUGCCACAACCGCCUGACGGACGAGCUUUGGAUUAGGGACUUGCAAUUUGUUUCCAUGACAGAAAUGUAAAUUCCGGCAUGGCUUUGAGGUGGACUUUGAACAGAAAGAUAGGUAUUGAUAUUUGCUAGUUAACCAUUAAUUAAGAAUGGUUUCUAUAAUGGAGUAAUUCUAUAGGCAAUCCUGACAGCAAAAUUCAAACUCACUAAUUGUAAAGCUUGUGUAGGAACUCACAGCUGAUCUCAUCCUGGCCACGAGAGCUCAACCACUUACCUUCUAUCCAACUGUUAAUUUAAAUGACUUUAUUGUUUCUUUUCACCUCUAAGUUUAUCCAAAACCCAGCAAACCAGAGACUUUCACCAACGGACGGGCCGGCGGCGCGCACACCGGGCACGUGCUGGCGAGGCCGCGCGGGGCACGUGGCAGCGCGGCCGAUCCGGGUCCCGGUCCGGAGCCCGGUCCCUCCCCGCCCGCAGAGCGCAGGAGCGCCCCGGGCCCGCCCCGCCCGCCGGUCGCCCCACGGGCCGCUCGCCCCCGCGCACCCGGAGUCACCCACUCGAGCCCAGAACCGGCCGCGGCUGCUGAACGCGCCGCCAAACGCACCGAUUGUCCCGCCCAAUGAAUGACCCGACCGGCGAUGUACGGCGUGCCGGCCGCAAGCGCGGAACUCAUUUCAAAACACCGCUUCAUUUUAGGAAAUGCAGGGCAGUGUUUGUCCCCCCCUCACGUCUCCACACACUCGAUUCUGUAAAAACCGCCCCAGGCUCCGUCACCCCCAGCGGCCGCCGCGCUGCCCGCAGAGCGCGGCCCCGCGCCCCCGGGUACUCACGGCGGGCGGGUAGACCCCGGCGGGCAGCAGCGGCUGCAGGUCGAUCAGCAGCGUCACCGGGACGUGCGAGAGGAAGUACAGCGCGAACAGCCGCUCCCGCCAACGCGGAGCCGCCGCCAUGGCCGCGCCGAGCCCCGCCCACCGCCAGAGUCCGCCCCGCCCACUGCCCUGGGCCCCGCCCGCCACCCGACACUGCCCCGCCCACCAGCCGCGGGCCCCGCCCACCGCCGCGGCGCGGCUGCGCAAGGCCCGGCGGGCGGGAGGAGCGCGGCAUAGGGGGGGGGGGCGCUGAGCGGCCGCUUUCCGGGGUUCUCCCGCUUUCCUUCAGCCGAUGAGCUUCCUCCAACACACGGCGGGAGGAGAAGAGCGCUUCGUAACUUCCAUUCAUUCAUCCAUUUGAAUCAGUCAGUGAUAUCUCGCCAAACAUCAGGAAAUUGAUUUUAGCAACUUACUUUUCCGUAGCUGAUCUCGUUCGGCUCCUUUGCUUCACCUUGUAUGAAAAAAGAGAUGAGGCCGCCUAAUACCAGGAUGUCCCUUUGACGACUUGUGAAUAAUUCGUAAGUUAUUCUUUGCGCUCACAACUUCCGUGCUCUUCUCGAGGCACAAUUCAUAAAAGGAGGUGCAGAAGCUGUAUUUGGAGAGCUUAGAACUUGGGAUGACAAUACAAAACUUACGAUUACAAUCUGUAAUUAGACAUUGAUAUCAGCAAAGCUUAAAACGGAUUAAAACGCAACCGUGAGAAGCGGCAGGAGCCGUGACGCCCGCUGCCGCCCCCACGGCUGCCUCCCCAAGCGUUCACGCGAGAACGGGACACUGUCUCACUUCCAUCCUAACCGACUUACACUGAACAUGUAAAAUGCAGUUGAGGUGACUGAAAACAUGCUUUCUUACAUAUAUUUGCAUUACAAUUUCAGUAACGCAGUUGUGCCCAUUCUGAUGACUGGUUGUGCAGAGCCCCUUGCCCACUUUUGUACGGAGACACCCUGAAAAGUCAACGUCCAAAGGACAUUUUAUUCUUUUUAUGUUUAUGAAUGAGAUUAACCCGUGGGCGUCCAGCAGCUCACUCCAAAACACAACAGCGCUGCACGAAGGGUCUUUGCCAGCGCUGUCCUCGCCGCCCGCAGCCUCAAGAACCGCGUCUCACACCGAGGCCCAACCAACCGCGGGCCCUGGGCCCCGUCCCGCGCCCAGCGAGGACCCAGCCAGCAGGCUCCGGAGAAACGGCAGCGAGUUAACGGCAACUGCUGCCGCAGCAGCCGAGCCCGAAGCAACGACACCGUCCCCAGCCUGAACCGGGCACGGCUGCGCCCGUCCUGCGCAGCCGGCACCGGCACGGCCAGCACCGGCACGGCCAGCACCGGCACGGCCAGCAGCGAGGGGCCCCUGAGUGUUUCUGGUGAGAUCGGGGGGCUCCAGCUGCACAGGUCAAUUGGUUUGACCUUUGGAAAGGUCUCGCCCACAAACCACGGCCAUUGCCGUCCCGGUGCAACACCUGUGCGCGGGGGAUUGUUCGCAUUAGGACCAGAGAAAACAAUGACAUUUGUGUUGGAAAAAUAACACAAACUUCGCCAAUGAAGUACAAUCCAUGCCUGACCAGAUGUCUCGCAGCUUCCCAUUAAAGCGCAAGGCCGUUGCUUGUUUGGAUUCAAUCGGCAAGUUUUGCCUUCAUCCAGGAUCAAGCUUAAAGAGUAAAUGAAUAUUUUGUUUAGGAAGUCAUAUAUAUGCGCAUAUAUGUAUGUAUACGUGCGUGUAUGCAUGUGUGUGUAAAAACCAAAACCAUGGCCAAACCAAGGUGUUAUAAAGUCUUUUUACUUGUAUUCGUUUAGACAGCACUUAAUCAAGAGGUAACAGCUUAUUCUUAAAUAACGGUGGGAGAUCAGACGGGAAAUGAAGAUAACGCCACUUCUUUUUCAAAUGUCACAUUUAAUGUUUUCACCACUGUACUUCAAAUCUACAUUGUACAAAGUGACCAGCAAGCGUGCCACAUAACUGACCAACCUCUGAGAUUUUACCUUGCAUACCAGUGUCUUCUGGGGCUCUUUAAUUAAACACGAUUCUCAAUCAAGUGAA